rnacentral:rRNA from 1 species
CCUACGGGAGGCAGCAGUGGGGAAUAUUGCACAAUGGGGGAAACCCUGAUGCAGCGACGCCGCGUGCGUGAAGAAGUAAUUCGUUAUGUAAAGCGCUAUCAGCAGGGACGAAACAGACGGUACCUGAGUAAGAAGCCCCGGCUAACUACGUGCCAGCAGCCGCGGUAAUACGUAGGGGGCAAGCGUUAUCCGGAUUUACUGGGUGGAAAGGGAGCGUAGACGGCGAAGAAAGUCUGAAGUGAAAGCCCUCGGCUUAACCGAGGAACGGCUUUGGAAACUUUUUUGCUGGAGUACCGGAGAGGUAAGCGGAAUUCCUAGUGUAGCGGUGAAAUGCGGAGAUAUUAGGAGGAACACCAGUGGCGAAGGCGGCUUACUGGACGGUAACUGACGUUGAGGCACGAAAGCGUGGGGAGCAAACAGGAUUAGAUACCCUAGUAGUC